rnacentral:tRNA from 1 species
GCCGCCGAUCGCCCGGCGGAACGCCGCCGCCAUCGCCGGCGGCAGCGGCUUGCCGGUCGGGUGGCUCGGUGCCACCAGCGGCAC